CGUACGCUUCUUUUUCCACCGGAGCUUGCUCCACCGGAAAAAGAGGAGUGGCGAACGGGUGAGUAACACGUGGGUAACCUGCCCAUCAGAAGGGGAUAACACUUGGAAACAGGUGCUAAUACCGUAUAACAAUCGAAACCGCAUGGUUUUGAUUUGAAAGGCGCUUUCGGGUGUCGCUGAUGGAUGGACCCGCGGUGCAUUAGCUAGUUGGUGAGGUAACGGCUCACCAAGGCCACGAUGCAUAGCCGACCUGAGAGGGUGAUCGGCCACAUUGGGACUGAGACACGGCCCAAACUCCUACGGGAGGCAGCAGUAGGGAAUCUUCGGCAAUGGACGAAAGUCUGACCGAGCAACGCCGCGUGAGUGAAGAAGGUUUUCGGAUCGUAAAACUCUGUUGUUAGAGAAGAACAAGGAUGAGAGUAACUGUUCAUCCCUUGACGGUAUCUAACCAGAAAGCCACGGCUAACUACGUGCCAGCAGCCGCGGUAAUACGUAGGUGGCAAGCGUUGUCCGGAUUUAUUGGGCGUAAAGCGAGCGCAGGCGGUUUCUUAAGUCUGAUG
rnacentral:rRNA from 1 species